rnacentral:piRNA from 1 species
UUUAAUGGCUAAAGUUUACUCAGUCCUCAGGAG